CUUAGACUUUCAGAAAGAAAGGAGCUCGGUAUUACAUUUAAAAAAGGAGAUCGUAUAAUUUCUAAAAAUAUAGGCAACUUUACCUUUCUAUGAAGUGUGCUAGUGCACGUGGACAUUAUCAAUAUGAUUGAAACUGUCUGUACCAAUAGGACACAAUAUUUGGAAAAUAGUGGAAAACAUAAAAAAGGAAACUCACUCAACCAAAAACGGAUUAAGUGGAUGGCGGGGAAGGCAGCAAAAAACGCCGGCCAAGAGGUGCAAAAACUUGACCAGGCCAACAACGAUGGCUGGUGGGGAAUUAUUAUGCAGCAGCAAUUACUCGCCAAUUGUCGUCGCAAUGAGAUUGUAGAGAACGGGAACAAAAGAAGAAAAAGCUGUUCGAAAAGGCGAUAAUCCAGUCGGGAACGAUGGACGUGGACGGCGAGGAUCGCAUCGGGUCGGAUCGCAAUGAUCAAACGCAAUGCCUGGAUCUGGGAUCUUGGAUCUUGGCCAGCUCAACGGUUUCUGGCCCGGCCGGUUAUGACCAAAUGCAGAGGAUCAGCAGUCGCCCCCUGCGAUUAUUUUUAUUAUAAUUGCGCGUUUAUUGGCGUGAGGAUAUGUUGCCACUCGAAUCCGUGGGGACACCACACAGUGCAGCCGCAUCGACUACACUACUGCUAAUGACGACGACACCUCGGACGGAACCACACUGGCCCCCUGAUUCCAUCCUAUCUCUGGAUACUGGACAAUUCGAAAACAUCCCACUAAUUUUUCCAUAUAUGUCCAAAGUGGUACACAAACGGCAAACGGCAAAUCGGCUUUGAUUUGUGUGGCAAACUUGGCGCUUGUUGUACAGCAUUUUUCCGUCUCUUAAACGCAGCAUUUUCCUCUGCAUUUGUUGCUCUUUAGUUUAUUGAGUUUAUAUGCCGUGGGGUUAUAGACAAGUCAAAGUGUUAUGCCGACAAGAAUUGUCAAGAGGGUAUUAAGAAUGUAUGUUGUAAUAUAUCACAUCUUGCCAAAAUCCUCUAGCUUAAACAGUCAAUCCAACCAAUGAGGCCAAUACUUCUAAGAAGUGUCCCCUUUUGAUUACAUAAACAUUAUUCCAAUAUGAAAAUAUGUUGUGUACAUCCUUUUUAAA